rnacentral:rRNA from 1 species
GGCUGAAACUCGCCUGCAUNAAGUCGGAAUUGCUAGUAAUCGCAGAUCAGCAUGCUGCGGUGAAUACGUUCCCGGGCCUUGUACACACCGCCCGUCACACCAUGGGAGUCGAUAACACCCGAAGCCUGUAGUCUAACCGCAAGGAGGACGCAGCCGAAGGUGGGAUUGAUGACUGGGGUGAAGUCGUAACAAGGUAAC